rnacentral:rRNA from 1 species
AGAGUUUGAUCCUGGCUCAGGAUGAACGCUGGCGGCGUGCCUAAUACAUGCAAGUCGAACGAGUUCUCGUUGAUGAUCGGUGCUUGCACCGAGAUUCAACAUGGAACGAGUGGCGGACGGGUGAGUAACACGUGGGUAACCUGCCCUUAAGUGGGGGAUAACAUUUGGAAACAGAUGCUAAUACCGCAUAGAUCCAAGAACCGCAUGGUUCUUGGCUGAAAGAUGGCGUAAGCUAUCGCUUUUGGAUGGACCCGCGGCGUAUUAGCUAGUUGGUGAGGUAAUGGCUCACCAAGGCGAUGAUACGUAGCCGAACUGAGAGGUUGAUCGGCCACAUUGGGACUGAGACACGGCCCAAACUCCUACGGGAGGCAGCAGUAGGGAAUCUUCCACAAUGGACGCAAGUCUGAUGGAGCAACGCCGCGUGAGUGAAGAAGGCUUUCGGGUCGUAAAACUCUGUUGUUGGAGAAGAAUGGUCGGCAGAGUAACUGUUGUCGGCGUGACGGUAUCCAACCAGAAAGCCACGGCUAACUACGUGCCAGCAGCCGCGGUAAUACGUAGGUGGCAAGCGUUAUCCGGAUUUAUUGGGCGUAAAGCGAGCGCAGGCGGUUUUUUAAGUCUGAUGUGAAAGCCCUCGGCUUAACCGAGGAAGCGCAUCGGAAACUGGGAAACUUGAGUGCAGAAGAGGACAGUGGAACUCCAUGUGUAGCGGUGAAAUGCGUAGAUAUAUGGAAGAACACCAGUGGCGAAGGCGGCUGUCUGGUCUGUAACUGACGCUGAGGCUCGAAAGCAUGGGUAGCGAACAGGAUUAGAUACCCUGGUAGUCCAUGCCGUAAACGAUGAAUGCUAGGUGUUGGAGGGUUUCCGCCCUUCAGUGCCGCAGCUAACGCAUUAAGCAUUCCGCCUGGGGAGUACGACCGCAAGGUUGAAACUCAAAGGAAUUGACGGGGGCCCGCACAAGCGGUGGAGCAUGUGGUUUAAUUCGAAGCAACGCGAAGAACCUUACCAGGUCUUGACAU